UCUCGCGUCAGGAUAUGCCUAGGUGGGAUUAGCUAGUUGGUGAGGUAAGGGCUCACCAAGGCGACGAUCCCUAGCUGGUCUGAGAGGAUGAUCAGCCACACUGGAACUGAGACACGGUCCAGACUCCUACGGGAGGCAGCAGUGGGGAAUAUUGCACAAUGGGCGCAAGCCUGAUGCAGCCAUGCCGCGUGUGUGAAGAAGGCCUUCGGGUUGUAAAGCACUUUCAGUCGUGAGGAAGGUAGUGUAGUUAAUAGCUGCAUUAUUUGACGUUAGCGACAGAAGAAGCACCGGCUAACUCCGUGCCAGCAGCCGCGGUAAUACGGAGGGUGCGAGCGUUAAUCGGAAUUACUGGGCGUAAAGCGCAUGCAGGUGGUUUGUUAAGUCAGAUGUGAAAGCCCGGGGCUCAACCUCGGAAUAGCAUUUGAAACUGGCAGACUAGAGUACUGUAGAGGGGGGUAGAUUUUCA
rnacentral:rRNA from 1 species